rnacentral:sRNA from 1 species
GCACAUCACGGCACAGGACAUGGACUUCCGAAACCGAAUCCAGGCGAUCCGGAAUCCAGAGUACAACAAUGGAUGUCCUCGAAGGGAAAUGCUGAACGGAGUCCUUGCGCUUUUGCGCCCCAAAAAAAUAUGACUUUGGUGCCACAGAUUUUUCGGCCACAAUUGCAUCGGAAAACCAUUUUGGGCUUAGGCCACAAAGUGUGUGGCUCUCUAUCCCUCUCUCUCUCUCUCUCUCUAUCUCUCUCUCUGUGCAUCGGCAUUUCCUUCUCGCUCUACGCGUUUUCCCAAGGAGCGUGAAACCUAAAACGGAUACAUAAGUGGAUUUUGUUAAUAUCCUGCUAUUGUUACAAAUUUGCAAGCUGAUUGCGGCAAGCGUCAUUUGUCAAGGAAGUGAACUUAAAAGCAGUUGAGGUUUAGGAAUGUGUUGGGCACACAAUUAUCCUUAUUAUGCUAUUGCGAGUUAAGUAAUGAGUUGGCAUUUUACUUGAGUGCUUUGAUUUAUAAAUACUACUGUAACCUGAAAGAAGAAAGCUAGCUUAACAAGCUCUUAGCUAUUAUGGAGCAUAGAUCUUUUCAACUAUUCGUAUGUUAUUCAAUAAUAAAUCUUAGGAUGUAAUUAUAA